rnacentral:rRNA from 1 species
GAUGAACGCUGGCGGCGUGCUUAACACAUGCAAGUCGAACGGAAAGGCCCAAGCUUGCUUGGGUGCUCGAGUGGCGAACGGGUGAGUAACACGUGGGUGAUCUGCCCUGCACUUUGGGAUAAGCCUGGGAAACUGGGUCUAAUACCGGAUAGGACCAUCGUUUAGUGUCGGUGGUGGAAAGUUUUUCGGUGUGGGAUGAGCUCGCGGCCUAUCAGCUUGUUGGUGGGGUAAUGGCCUACCAAGGCGUCGACGGGUAGCCGGCCUGAGAGGGUGUACGGCCACAUUGGGACUGAGAUACGGCCCAGACCCCUACGGGAGGCAGCAGCGGGGAAUAUUGCACAAGGGGCGCAAGCCUGAUGCAGCGACGCCGCGUGGGGGAUGACGGCCUUCGGGUUGUAAACUCCUUUCGCCAAGGACGAAGCGUUUUGUGACGGUACUUGGAGAAGAAGCACCGGCUAACUACGUG